CCCAACCCCCAGGCUGGUGGCCCUGGCCCCUCCGUGGAAGUCUGGGCAGAGAUGCCGCCUCCAGCGGAGAGGCCCCGGGAGGCCGGGCGGGCCUUGCCGGAGAUCUCACGUGCAUGUGCAAAGCGCCUUGGCUUGUGGGCUUGCCUUGGAUUGGGGCGGGGGUCCUCCCUUCCUGACCCCCCCCCCGCCCGCACCAGGAAUCAGACGCAGGGCUCGGCUUUCAUGGGCGCAGAGUCCAUGUUGGAAAGCAUACUUAACAUGCCCUCCUUAUGGCACUUUUCACCUUCAUAUGGUCCAGAUCUUCCUUUGGCCAGCGUGCCUAAGAGACCAACGCAGUCAAAAUCAUCUGUUUGCCAUCUCAAGGACCAUCGCUGAGAGAUAAUUUCCAGUGUGAAGGUUCUGGCUAUGGAAGAGAUCGCAGGAUAGACGGUCCGCAUCAGAGGUCCCCGAGAAGAGUCUCAGACCAAGGCCACGUCUCUUGUCUGCAGCUGGGGUUGACUGCUCCAGGACCCCGAAGACAACGAACGUGCACUUGAUAUCCCCGAGCGUUCGUCAGAGAAACAACGAGCAUCAGACAGUGAUCGACGACAUGAUCUCUGCUGGAGAUGGGGAGCGGCAGACCGAUUCACGCAAAGGAGAUGCUGGCAGUCCCGUCAUUCGUGAGGCCGAUGCCGGGAAGGAGCUGCGUGGGACCGUCAGCGGGGCGCUAGCUGUGCCGAGAAGGAGAAACCCGCAGUCUAAACGGGGGUGCCUCGGGUCGCAUCGCACCUGAAUGGAGUCCGAGACAGGACCCACCGCCCUCCUGGAUGAACGUGGGGACUUCCUUUGCAGCCUGCUGAGCCACUCGUUGAAAGUGAGCAAAUGAGCGUCACGGUGUGAAGCCUGCUCUGGAGCUGAUU